rnacentral:rRNA from 1 species
UCGGGAAUUUUGGGCAAUGGGCGAAAGCCUGACCCAGCAACGCCGCGUGAAGGAUGAAGUAUUUCGGUAUGUAAACUUCGAAAGAAUAGGAAGAAUAAAUGACGGUACUAUUUAUAAGGUCCGGCUAACUACGUGCCAGCAGCCGCGGUAAUACGUAGGGACCAAGCGUUGUUCGGAUUUACUGGGCGUAAAGGGCGCGUAGGCGGCAUGACAAGUCACUUGUGAAAUCUCUGGGCUUAACCCAGAACGGCCAAGUGAUACUGUCGCGCUAGAGUGCAGAAGGGGCAAUCGGAAUUCUUGGUGUAGCGGUGAAAUGCGUAGAUAUCAAGAGGAACACCUGAGGUGAAGACGGGUUGCUGGGCUGACACUGACGCUGAGGCGCGAAAGCCAGGGGAGCAAACGGGGAUUAGAUACCCCAGUAGUCCCUGAGCGGGCUGGCAAGGCGCAU